AUAUUCUCUCUUGAGUGGAUCCUGAGUACGACGGAGCACGUGAAAUUCCGUCGGAAUCUGGGAGGACCAUCUCCUAAGGCUAAAUACUCUCUAGUGACCGAUAGUGAACCAGUACCGUGAGGGAAAGGUGAAAAGUACCCCGGAAGGGGAGUGAAAGAGAACUUGAAACCGUGUGCUUACAAGUAGUCAGAGCCCGUUAAUGGGUGAUGGCGUGCCUUUUGUAGAAUGAACCGGCGAGUUACGAUCUGAUGCAAGGUUAAGCAGAAAAUGUGGAGCCGUAGCGAAAGCGAGUCUGAAUAGGGCGUAUAGUAUUUGGUCGUAGACCCGAAACCAGGUGAUCUACCCAUGGUCAGGUUGAAGUUCAGGUAACACUGAAUGGAGGACCGAACCGACUUACGUUGAAAAGUGAGCGGAUGAACUGUGGGUAGCGGAGAAAUUCCAAUCGAACUUGGAGAUAGCUGGUUCUCUCCGAAAUAGCUUUAGGGCUAGCCUCAAGUGAUGAUUAUUGGAGGUAGAGCACUGUUUGGACGAGGGGCCCCUCUCGGGUUACCGAAUUCAGACAAACUCCGAAUGCCAAUUAAUUUAACUUGGGAGUCAGAACAUGGGUGAUAAGGUCCGUGUUCGAAAGGGAAACAGCCCAGACCACCAGCUAAGGUCCCAAAAUAUAUGUUAAGUGGAAAAGGAUGUGGCGUUGCCCAGACAACUAGGAUGUUGGCUUAGAAGCAGCCAUCAUUUAAAGAGUGCGUAAUAGCUCACUAGUCGAGUGACACUGCGCCGAAAAUGUACCGGGGCUAAACAUAUUACCGAAGCUGUGGAUUGUCCUUUGGACAAUGGUAGGAGAGCGUUCUAAGGGCGUUGAAGCAUGAUCGCAAGGACAUGUGGAGCGCUUAGAAGUGAGAAUGCCGGUGUGAGUAGCGAAAGACGGGUGAGAAUCCCGUCCACCGAUUGACUAAGGUUUCCAGAGGAAGGCUCGUCCGCUCUGGGUUAGUCGGGUCCUAAGCUGAGGCCGACAGGCGUAGGCGAUGGAUAACAGGUUGAUAUUCCUGUACCACCUA
rnacentral:rRNA from 1 species